rnacentral:lncRNA from 1 species
GGCGGGGCCUAGGGGGCCGAGCCCGCGGGGGAGGGGCGGCGCGGGUCACGUGACGCGGUUUCAGUGUUUACACGAGGAGCAGGCCAAGCGUUCGGCCUCAGUCUGGCGCUCGGCUCCGUUUCGGUU